GUAAGAAUCUUCCGCAAUGGACGAAAGUCUGACGGAGCGACGCCGCGUGGGUGAAGAAGGCCGUGAGGUUGUAAAGCCCUUUUCUACCUGAGGAAUAAGCCCCAGAGGGAAUGCUGGGGUGAUGACGGUAGGGUAGGAAUAAGCCCCGGCUAAUUACGUGCCAGCAGCCGCGGUAACACGUAUGGGGCGAGCGUUGUUCGGAUUUAUUGGGCGUAAAGGGCGCGUAGGCGGACGUGCAAGUCUGGUGUGAAAGACCGCAGCUCAACUGCGGGCACGCACUGGAAACUGCAUAUCUUGAAUCCUUGAGGGGGAACUGGAAUUCCUGGUGUAGGGGUGAAAUCUGUAGAUAUCAGGAAGAACACCGGUGGCGAAGGCGAGUUCCUGGCAAGUGAUUGACGCUGAGGCGCGAAAGCGUGGGGAGCGAACAGGAUUAGAUACCCCCGUAGUCC
rnacentral:rRNA from 1 species